rnacentral:lncRNA from 1 species
GCCGAAUCCAAAAAAAUAGAAUCACCACGUAUUCCUCUUCUUCCGCUAGCUCCCAGCCUUCCUGUUCUUAUCCACGGGCGAGUUCACAGCAGAGAUCUUCUCAAAUGCCCACAUCUGCUAUCAUUCCCAAAUCUCCCCUGUUCCUUCCCUCCCAUGUCCAAAGAACAGAUUCUUUCUUCCGGAUUUCUCCGCGUCAACAUCCCAACGUCC